UGGAAGGGUAAGACCCGAUGCAAGGCAAGGAGAGAGCUCGAGGUGGUGGCUGCUGGUUAGCUCCCUCUGGGCGCGGAUCUGGCCAGAAGUGAAUGCACCAACAUCCAUAACUCCUCGGAAAAGCCGGCUGACUCCCCUCGCUCCUUUCUCGGAUCCGCUGCCUACGCCUCUGGAGCCUCCCGUGCCUGCACCUUUGUAACUGGUUACUUUAUUAAAGUCUCUUCACUUAAAUCAACUGGGAAGAAUUCUGUCCUACUCAGGACACUAACUUCAAACUGCAGUAUAUACCAUCACAUGUCUCAAUCCCUGGCAUCAAGAAGUUUCCGGAGAAGUAUGUGUUUAAAAUACCCAAGA
rnacentral:lncRNA from 1 species